rnacentral:tRNA from 1 species
GAGGGCAUAGCUCAAUUGGUAGAGCACAUGCUUAGCAUGCAUGAGAUGCAUGCUUGAGGUCCUGGGUUCAAUCCCCAGUGCCUCCU